CUGGAGGCAUAGGCUGACUCCAAGCCCUGUCUAAUGACAGAAAACAGUACAAACGCGUUACUACUGCAAAGCCUUGCGUAUACUUGCCAGCUAAAAAUCUGCAUUGUCUGUGGCUGCUUAGGCAGCACCCGGGGUUUGCUAUUUAGCGCCAGAAACAGUGGAGUAGAGAAAUACUAGUGAGUUGCAACGGGACGGACAUGUUUAAAGAAGCCUCACUCUACGCAUUAUGACGUUUGUAGUCACACAUGCCGGUGUGUGCCCGUAAUGGAUGCUUGUGUAGGGAAGUCUCCAUCUAUCUGAUACACAAAUAUGAUGAAGAAGGAGAAAAAAGUGAGGCGAUUCCAGGCCCUUGUUUUAAUUCUCCAGAAUAAAGGGAUGUCUCCCUUUUCACUGUGCAGGUCUUCAUUUCUCCUUUCUGGAUUAAUCACUUCCCACCUCAGCCAACAACUGCAAACACUGAUGCUUCCC
rnacentral:lncRNA from 1 species